AGAAGAAGAGGAGAGUCAGUCUAUACCUGCUUUUAUGACCUGCUUAAGUACACUUGUAUCUGCUGAUUCGAUGUAAUCCGUGCUGCAUGUGGUGGAGCUUCUAGAAAGCUGAAAAGAUUUGGACUACACGCUGGUGUGCACUACAGAGCUCGUCUUCUGUCUUUGUUGUUCAGUGCUGUUUAAACAUCAACAGUCUGCCGUUACUGUGUGUGAUCUGAUGAACAAAUGCGUGCAGAUGUCUCUAAUCUGUUGUACAAACACAGUUAACUGUCUUCACAAUAUCAGACUAGGCUCAUGUUGCGGAGUGAACCUAAUGCAUCACGCUUACACCUUUUGUAAAGCACUUUGUAAUCUCAGCUUUAAGGUCUUUACACACUGGGGGUGUUUGUUUUUUUUGUGUGAUUAAUUUGCAUGUCAGUAUAUUUUUUCAAACUGUUUCGCACAGGAGGAGAUUAAUAUUUCUGAGCUUUUGCACCAAGAACAAAGGAAUCAACCUUCACAAAGACUGCCAGGGUCUAAGGAUCCCAGUAUCUGGUCCCAGCAAGACUUCAAACUGUCCCACAAAUCCUGAAAUAUGUCGAGAACCGGCUGUGCUUCAGCUCCUGUUUUAUCGCAGCAGAUGAGGCGAAGCGUUGUUCAUUUCUUUGAGGAAAACAUCUCACCUGUUGCUCCAUCACGACCCGAGCGACAGCAGCCUGAACCACAUUGGUCCGGUCCAGACAGUCCAUACAGUUGACUCUGAAGAUUCCCUCCUGUUUGCAGAUGACUCCUGCUUGGUCCACCCUGACAGGAAGAGGUAAGCCGGUCUUCUCUGAGUCUCCCUGACGCUGCACGCUGUUUGUCAGGUCGUAGGUCAUGCUGUAGUAGAAGGAGUCGGAGUCCAUGAAUAUCUUGUACAGCUCAUCCAGCAGCCGCCUCUCCAGCCGCUCCUUCUCUUUGUUUUCCUUGACCUGGAAGGCAGGGGAAUACUGGAUUUGGGCGGGCGGAUAGAAAAGAGCGAGUCAGUACCUCCAGCUCGAGCUCCUGGGGCUCCUCAUCAGACAGAGGGAUGACAGCUAUCUUGGUGAUCUUGUAGACUUUGUGGUUGCCCGGUAAAUGGCCCACCAGCGCUUUCUGGCGGAUUAAAACGAGGCCG